AUUGAACGCUGGCGGCAUGCCUUACACAUGCAAGUCGAACGGCAGCACGGGAGCAAUCCUGGUGGCGAGUGGCGAACGGGUGAGUAAAGUAUCGGAACGUGCCCAGUCGUGGGGGAUAACGUAGCGAAAGUUACGCUAAUACCGCAUACGAUCUAUGGAUGAAAGCGGGGGAUCGCAAGAACUUGCGAGACUGGAGCGGCCGAUAUCAGAGUAGGUAGUUGGUGGGGUAAAGGCUCACCAAGCCGACGAUCUGUAGCUGGUCUGAGAGGACGACCAGCCACACUGGGACUGAGACACGGCCCAGACCCCUACGGGAGGCAGCAGUGGGGAAUUUUGGACAAUGGGCGAAAGCCUGAUCCAGCCAUGCCGCGUGCAGGAUGAAGGCCUUCGGGUUGUAAACUGCUUUUGUACGGAACGAAAAGGUUUGGCCUAAUAAGCUGAGCUCAUGACGGUACCGUAAGAAUAAGCACCGGCUAACUACGUGCCAGCAGCCGCCGUAA
rnacentral:rRNA from 1 species